rnacentral:lncRNA from 1 species
UCAGUUUCUUCAUCUGAGAAAUGAUGGGAGGAGCAAUAGAGUGGAAAGUGAGCCAGGCUUUCCUGGUGGGAAGUCCUGAGGUUAAAUUUGGCCUCAGAUAACUUCCUAGCUGUGUGACCCUGGGCAAGUCACUUAACCUCAAUUGCCUAGCCCUUACCUCUCUUCUGCUUUGGAACCGAUACUUAGCAUUGAGAAGGUAAGGAUUUGAAAGAAACAAAUGAUGGCUUUGGACUAGAUGGACCUCCAAGACCUCUCCUAGAUGUUCUAGCUUCUAAGAUCCCUUCUAGUUCUGCUAUUCCGAAGGUCUGUAUCUCCAAAUCCUUUCUGAGCCUGUCUACUGGCAUGUAGCCUGGGCAUUCUCUUCAUCAGAUGGACCCUUCCUUCUGGGGACCCCAGAUGCUUUGGGAUGUGUCCUCAGGCACCUUCUUUCCUGCUCCAUAGGGGCCAGAAUUCCAGUAUCAUCCCACACUCUCUGGUGCCCUUAAGAGACCAUCUAGUCCAACAUCCUCAUUUCACAGGAGAGACAGCUGGGAAUCCAAAGGGACCAGAGACUUGCCCACGAUCAUAUCGCAAACCAGAAGCAGAAUUCGAAUUCAAACCCACCUCUCCAGACUCAGAAGGAUGAAUUGGCCUGUUGGCCUCGACGGAGGAUGCCUGUCUCAGUCUCCUGUUUCUCUUCCAAGAGAGGGAAGCCAGCUUUCACCCCCAGCCUCCUGAGGUUCUGAACCAUUUCCCCUCAUGAUGUCCUUGUGGUCCUCUUAGAAGCCGUUCUCCUGCUUCAGCAUCAAUUCAUCCAAGUCUUUCCAUAGUUCUCUGAAUUAGUUAGGAUGUGAUAAAAUCACAUUAUAUUCCUCUACCUGUUUGACUCGAUUUCCUCCACUGGAAAAUGGGGAUAAUAAUAGAAUCUACCUGGAAGAUAAAUGGGAAUCAAAUGAGAUAAUCACUGUAAAACCCUUAGCACAGUGCUUGACACCCAAAUCCUUAUCCUUCCGCCCUCCUACUUCCUUCUGCCCCAGUUUAUUCAGCCAUUCUCUGACUGCUAGAAGACUAUUUUGUAUCCAGUUCUUUUUGCUACAAGUACCAUUAGGCUACGACGUCCUGCCUUUCCUCUCUUCUGAUGCUCCUUCCCAAGCAGCCAGCCCAGAUGGACUUUGCAGGGUAU